rnacentral:lncRNA from 1 species
AUGGAAACAAGCAAAAUUGAAUUAUGGGCCAAAAGAAUGAUGCAAACAAGAUCGACGGACUUACCAAACGUGAGCUUCAGUGGUGGAUUUUCGAGGCAGCAGUGGCAUAGCAGAUUUUUGGAGUGCAGAUUUUGGACAGUUUUGGUGCAGAUUUUGCAGCAGGUUUUUGGCAAGUUUGUGGGCAGAUUUUGCAGCAGGUUUUUUGGCAAGUUUGUGGGCAAAUUUUGCAGCAAGACAGUAGCAGGGUGCAGGGCUGGUUGGUUUGGCUUAGCAUGA